rnacentral:rRNA from 1 species
UGCCUACGGGACGCAGCAGUGGGGAAUAUUGCACAAUGGGGGAAACCCUGAUGUAGCGACGCCGCGUGAGCGAUGAAGUAUUUCGGUAUGUAAAGCUCUAUCAGCAGGGAAGAAAAUGACGGUACCUGACUAAGAAGCCCCGGCUAACUACGUGCCAGCAGCCGCGGUAAUACGUAGGGGGCAAGCGUUAUCCGGAUUUACUGGGUGUAAAGGGAGCGUAGACGGCGAUGCAAGCCAGAUGUGAAAGCCCGGGGCGCAACCCCGGGACUGCAUUUGGAACUGUAUAGCUAGAGUGUCGGAGAGGG